rnacentral:rRNA from 1 species
UACGUAGGGCGCAAGCGUUGCCCGGAAUUAUUGGGCGUAAAGAGCUCGUAGGCGGUGUGUCGCGUCGGCCGUGAAAACCUGGGGCUUAACUCUGGGCUUGCGGUCGAUACGGGCAUCACUGGAGUUCGGCAGGGGAGACUGGAAUUCCUGGUGUAGCGGUGAAAUGCGCAGAUAUCAGGAGGAACACCGGUGGCGAAGGCGGGUCUCUGGGCCGAUACUGACGCUGAGGAGCGAAAGCGUGGGGAGCGAACAGG